rnacentral:rRNA from 1 species
AUAUGCCGAGAGGUGAAAUAUUUUAUAGCCUGAGGAUGAGCUCGCGUCUGAUUAGCUAGUUGGAGGUGUAAGAGACCCCCAAGGCGACGAUCACUAGCUGUUCUGAGAGGAAGAUCAGCCACACUGGGACUGAGACACGGCCCAGACUCCUACGGGAGGCAGCAGUGGGGAAUUUUCCGCAAUGGGCGAAAGCCUGACGGAGCAACGCCGCGUGAGGGAGGAAGGUCUUUGGAUUGUAAACCUCUUUUCUGAAGGAAGAAGAACUGACGGUACUUCAGGAAUAAGCAUCGGCUAACUCCGUGCCAGCAGCCGCGGUAAUACGGAGGAUGCAAGCGUUAUCCGGAAUCAUUGGGCGUAAAGCGUCCGUAGGUGGCAUUACAAGUCUGCUUUCAAAGCGUGCAGCUCAACUGCAUAAAGGGAGUGGAAACUGUGGAGCUAGAGUUCGGUAGGGGCAGAGGGAAUUCCCGGUGUA